AUGGACAAGCUCCUGGGGGCAUUGCUGUUGAUUCUGUGGCUUCAGCCAGACUGGGUAAAUAGUCAACAGAAGGGUGACCAGCUGCAGGUCAAGCAAACUCCAUCCCUGAAUGUGCAAGAAGGAAAAACUUCUAUUCUGAACUGUGACUACAAUAAUGAUUUGUUUGAUUACUUCCCAUGGUAUAAAAAAUAUCCUGCUAAAAAUCCCGAAUUCCUGAUAUCAAUACUCUCAGUUACGCAUAAAAAUGAAGAUGGAAGAUUCACAGUAUUCCUCAACAAAAGUGCCAAACACCUGUCCCUGCACAUUGCAGGCUCCCAGCCUGGAGACUCAGCCUUGUAUCUCUGUGCAGCAAGUGCACAGUGCUCUCCGGGCACCUGCAGCCUAUACCCCAACCUGCAGCUGGGUCCUUGCCUCUUUGGGGUCUCUACUGGGAGGCACGUACUUGCUUCCAUUUACACACAUCAUUGCAGCAUUCUGGAAACAAUUGCAACGGGCUUCACUCUGAGCUCAAAAGUAACUGCUGCUGAGGAAACCCAUUCAGAAGCUGAUUUGGCCCACUCUCCUGAAAGGGCUGUUGUUGUGGCAGUUGGCUUAUGA